GACGAACGCUGGCGGCGUGCCUCAAACAUGCAACCGUCGAGCGGACGGAGACCGAACCGCAAGGGAGGUUGAAGUUAGCGGCGAACGGGUGAGUAACACGUGGGUAACCUACCCUAAAGUCUGGGACAACGGCCCGAAAGGGCCGCUAAUACCGGAUAAUGUCUUCGGGUCGCAUGGCCUGGGGAAGAAAGCCGAAAGGCGCUUAUGGAUGGGCUCGCGUCCCAUCAGCUAGUUGGUAAGGUAACGGCUUACCAAGGCGACGACGGGUAGCCGGUCUGAGAGGGUGUCCGGCCACACUGGAACUGAGACACGGUCCAGACUCCUACGGGAGGCAGCAGUGGGGAAUUUUGGGCAAUGGGGGAGACCCUGACCCAGCGACGCCGCGUGAGGGACGAAGGCCCUUGGGUCGUAAACCUCUUUUGCAGGGGAAGAAGAAGAUGACGGUACCUUGCGAACAAGUCCCGGCUAACUACGUG
rnacentral:rRNA from 1 species